AUCACAUCUACCAAUCCUCCUGCAAAAGAACAUAACUGAUUAUUCUUCACAUUCAUAGGUUACAGCUCGCCGUCUUCGAAGCACGCACAACCAAUAUUCUAUCCUUCUCUAGGGAUAUUUAGAAAAAGAAGCGAAGAUGAGUCAAGAAGGGAGGUACUGGAGCGAAGGGGGGAAAGAAGAAGUCAGCAACUUUUGUGAAUGAUUGUGGGAAGCCUGUCGAGGAUAAGAUCAUGGAGAUAGCCUCACUCGAGAAGUUCCUUCAAGAGAGAAUCAAAGUCGGUGGUAAAGCUGGUAAUCUCGGUGAUUCGGUUACGAUUUCUCGUAAGAAGAACAAGAUCUUCGUCACAUCAGACAGCAACUUCUCCAAAAGGAACUGGUGGCUUAUUCAGGUGCAAGACAAUUGAGGAGUACAAUAUUGCUGCUUCUGAAAGAAUUAGCCCUUUUCCCUUUUUUCCCUUUUCCCCUUUCUGUAAAUCUAAUUGUUUAUUUCAUGAUUAUUUUUGUAUGUGAUUAAUUUAGAUGAAUUUGAUUAGUAUGUUAGUAUGUUUGGUUGUACUUUAUCUUAUUGCAUGUAAGGUAUUUG